GCCCGGGUGGCGGAAUGGCAGACGCAAGGGACUCAAAAUCCCUCGAUCGCAAGGUCAUGAGAGUUCGACUCUCUCCCCGGGCA
rnacentral:tRNA from 1 species